ACUAGAGUGGAGACAGAGAGGGAGAGAGAGAGGCGAUGGCGGAGACCGACGAGGGGAGCAAGGGUACCAACGGCGUCUCGAGGGUCUAUAUCCCCCGCCCGAUCGAGAUCGACGGCUCCGGCGGGGGCGGCGGUGGUGAGACGCUUUACGCCGUCCUCCGGGCAUUCAUCGCUGGCGUUGUCUCCCCGGACGCCACCGCGUCGCCGCCGCCCCCGCUGAUCCAGCGACUCAAGGCCUCCUCCGCGAAGGCUGCGCCCCGUUUCCGGCAGGCGUUUCGGAACUCCGCUCACGAUCUCCUUCUCUGGACCCGCCAGGGAAGCCCCUUUCGCGCCC
rnacentral:lncRNA from 1 species